UAGACCUUACUCUUAUUGCUUCAUCAAUAAAUAAGAUUAAUAAUUAAUGAAAAUUCGGAUCAAUUUAUAUAAAAGUCAUCUCCAACAUUACAACACAGCAUCUCGGACAGUUGUUAAUGGGCUGGUAAUUCAUAUGAAAUAAUUAAGUGAAAAACUGUAUCCGAAAUGUGUUCAUACAGCACAAUGAGGAGAUUAUUUUUUAUAUUGCUCCAACUGACAGGUAUUUAUUCAACCCAGGAAGUCAGUUUGGAGAACGACAUCACGAAACAUAUAAACAAGUGGGUGACCACCAUAUUUACAAGCACAAUUGGUGGCAAAAAUGCAGUUGCAACGAUUUCCGCAAUACACGAAACUGAAUUGAUGGAAUUCGAAUACAAUAUCAUCAUCAGCAAUCAAGUCCAUACAAAAUGCACCUUCCAAGACAUUGUUUAUCCCAAUUCUUCUCCUCGGAAGUGGUGUUAUGGAAUACAAAUCGAAUGGAACUCUUCUGAAAGUAAAAUUAGGGCAUUCUUUCAAGUACUCCCCUUUUGUAUGAACGUGCUGAUACAGACUGGUGAGGACAACUAUGAAAAAUCUUCACAAGUUCCUAUAACCGCAACAUUCCUAAACGCUACAUCAACUGCUUCGAGAUCGUACACCAGACAUAAUGGUUUAAAAAUCACGUACGAUUUUACCUACAGUACUGUCGCCUAUUGGAGAGACGAUAUCGGCGGACCUUUUCUAAAACUGACUGCUGAGGAAGCUGAGGAAAAAAACCAGCUAGAUCGAGUGAUAUUACCAAUUUUACCAACCAUUCUACGAGAACGAGUAAGUACCAAUCAAAAAACCAUUCGGGAACUCGACGACGUUUUCCAAGAGUACGAGAAGCCUAGACAAGAAAUAAUUUCAAUACAUCCGGAUUUCUUGAACAACUCGCAAAAGUAUUACUACCUCAUACCUGAAAUUCCUUUUUUCUGCUUCGUUCUAAAACGUAUCGUUAUCCAUGGGCUAUCGAAUUUCGAAUCAUAUAAAACUCACAGGAGGCUCGAAGGGGAGCCUGAAAUUUUCACACACACAUUGCUCAUAAGAAAUAUUCGAGGAAGUAUGACUUUGGAUUAUAGAUCUGAACAAGAAAAAGCUUUAAAAUUGAAUUUCCAAAUAGAUUGCUUCAACGUAACGAAAAAGGAUGAUACAGGUUGCGUUUACGGUCUGGCGAAAGAUUACACCAUUACUCGAGCAAAUACGAACGUUUCGUUGAGUAGCCUUCAGUCAGAGGUGAUUAUGAAUCGACUGGAAUCAGCCCUUGCUUCUGCAUUAUUGGGACUACCAUCGAAGAAGUGUGGACAAAUCGGUGACUUGGAAAUGACGUUAGAAAAAAUUAAAAUCUCAAAUUCUUCAGAUUGGAAAACAAUAAAGGAAUCAUAUAAAGAAUGGAUCCCAUUUCAUAAUGACGAAGAAGUUAUUGAUAAAUAAUCAUUUGUGUAAAACCGUAUUUCCUGAAAAUUCAGAUUUUAUACCUUACGAAGUUAUAAAAGAGGAGGCGAUCAUUAUAGUUUACUUAUUUGUUGAUCUAAAAGGAGAUGAUGUUAUUUUUUUUUAAAUCGAGUGAAAUAGAUAGAUAGUCCUAUUGGUUCAUUCAUAAGAUAGAUACUCGUAUGAUUACUUUAAUGAAAAUCCGGAUCAACACAAAUAAAAAUCAAUCUCUAACAUUACGAUAAAGUAUAGUUCAUAGUUUAGUAAUCACAUCAAAUAAUUCUGUGAAAAAACUUAAUCGAAAAUGUUGUCUUCAUACACAGCACAAUGAAGAUGAUAUCAUUUUUUAUAUUGCUACAACUAGCAGGUAUUUAUUCAACUCACGAAAUCACGAAACAUAUAGACAAGUGGGUGAGCAGCAUAUUUACGAUUGGUGGAAAAAAUGGAGCCGAAACGUUCUCCGGAAUAUAUGGCGAUGAAUUGAAAGACUUCGAAUACAAUAUCAGCAACCAAGAAAGGAAUUUCCACACAAAAUGCAUCGUCUACUAUAUUCUUUUUCACACACUUGGGAGUACCUAUAAGGGAGCGAUAGGCCAACAAAUCGAUUGGAAAUUUUCUGAAAGUAAAAUUAGCACAUUCUUUGAAGGAUUCGAAUUUUUUAUUGAAACUAUGAUGAAGACUGGUGUGGGCAGCGACAUCGAAAAAUCUUCAACAAUUUCUGUAUCUGUACACGCAAAGUUCAAAAAUUUCACGUUAACUGCUUUGAGAUCAUACACAAGAGAUAAUUAUUUAAAAACCACGCACGAGUUUACCUACAGUAGUGUCGACUAUAACGGCACCGUUCAUUACUGGUAUCCUCAAAGAAAUCUAACCGCAGAGGAUGAAAACCAGCUAAAUGGAGGAAUACUAUCAAUGUUACCAAUCGUUUUACAAAAAAGUUUAAAGGACAACCAAACAUCCAUUCAGAAACUCGACGACCUUUUCCAGAAGUAUGAGAAACCAAGACAAGAAAUAAUUGCAAUACAUCCGGAUUUCUUGAGCAAUCCGCUCAAGUAUUACUACCUCAUACCGAAGAUUCCUUUUUUUUGUUUUAUUCUAAAACGUAUCGUUAUCCAUGGUUUAUCGAAUUUUGAAUGGUAUCGAGCUAACGGGAUGUCCGAAAUUUUCACACACACUUUGCUCAUAAGAAAUAUUCAAGGAAGUAUGACUUUAGAUUACAGAUCUGAAAAGGAAAACGACUUGGAAUUGAAUUUCCAAAUAGAUCACUUUAUCUUAUGGAAACAGCAUGAUACAGAUUGCGUUUAUGCCCGUGCAAGAUAUUACACCAUUACUCGAAGAAAAACAAAAACCUCGUUAAGCGGUCGCCAGUCAGAGGUGAUUAUGGAGCGACUACAAUCAGUUUUAGCUUCUGGAUUAUUAGGCCUGCCAUCGAAGGAGAUUGACCAAAUCUGUAAUGUAGAAACGCCGCUGGAUAAAAUUAGAAUCUCAAAUUCUUCAGAUUGGAAAACAAUAAAAGAAUCAUAUAUAGGAUGGAUCCCAUUUCAUGAUGAUGAAGAAGUGAUUCCAAAAAAACCAUUCGUGUGAAAUCGUAUUUUCUGAAAAUCCAGAUUUUUUACACGAAGAUAUAUCUCAUAAGAUCAGAUCGUCAUGAUAAUCAAAAAAAUCACCGAAAAUUCCAAUCGUUCAUGGAUUCUUUAGACUUACCCUAUAUUAAAAUGAACCAAUUACAAAAAUAAUACACCAAGUUGAUUAAUUUUUAAAAAAUUGGUUUCAUUAAAAUUCCUUCUUUUCCUGUUUGAAUCCAGAAAAAAAUUAACCAGUGUACCUAGCACGGCGAUAUGAUAAACAAAAUAAACCUCACCAAUUCACCACACUUCCGAAUACUUCGAUAAUUCAAAGGCACUUCUCCGGUAAUAAAUUACGACUUGAUCAGAAUGGCAAAUCGUAUUUAAACUUAUGAUGUCGUAACUGAUUGUAAUUAUUCAUGAAGGUAUGUACCUGUAACAGAAAAAAUUUAAAAAUAAUGUUAAUUGCGAAAGAAACUAGGUACCUGUAUAUAAAAUAUUAAGUAUAUUCACGCUGGAAAAUAUUUUUAAAAAAAACUGAAGAAUCAAAUUUGGCUAGAAUACUCAAUUUUUAAACUGAGUAAAGGCUCACACAUUCAUUCUUUUCUAAAUAUACCUAACCUAACCUAAUCUUUCAGUACACUUUCUCGUAUGAAAAUUUUCGACAAUUUAUUUUUUGAACUCCUAAAGGCAGAAGGACAUUUCAAUCCCACCUACUCAAUGUUGCAAAAUUCGAAUACUUGCCAACUAAUUUUGAACAAUCCAUACUUCAGUGUACCUCCCAGCAUCGUGCUCCUGACUGGCAUGGCAGAGGGAACACUGAAGGUUUAAAUAGGGAAAAAAUCAACUGAUAAUCAAUCUCAAACAGCAUUUCCGGAAACCAAAUUCAUUAGAUUUUAAAUUAGAAAAGAACACAGCUCCUUUAAAAUGGAGAAGAUAGUUCGUUACUCUAUCUGCUUCAUUUACAUUAAUCAAAUUCCAGAUUAUUUACAUAAAAAUCAAAAUUAAUUAUCGUUAUUACGAUCAAGUACCUCGAUAAUUUCACUGAUGAGGAAACUCAGUUGGUUUUUGGUUCGGUAGAUGAUCAUAAUAGACGCCUAAUAAGUCACUCCUUAUAGCAAACCUUUGACUAAAAUGUAUUUUUACAGUACAGUGAAGAUUUUAUUUCUCAUUUUAAUCCGAGUAAAAGAUAUUUUUUCUACGCAAGAAAUAUGUUUAGAAAAUGACAUCACAAUACAUCUAAACGAGAUGAUUACCAACAUAUCAGCAAUAGAAUGCAAAAUUGCAGACGAAAUGAUCUACACAAUCCCGGACUAUAUUUUAAAGGAAUUCGAAUACAACAUCAGUAACGAUGUACAAAGUUUUCAAACAAAUUUUUUUUUACAGGACAUUAAAUUCUCUACAGGUUCUGUACGAGAUGAAGACGACAAAACUUCACAAAUCGUCUGGAAAUUCCAUGAAAAUAAACUUAGCGUAACUUUCAAAGAACCGUGCAUCAAACUAAACGGUGUGACAAAGGUUAAUGGAUUUCAGGACGAGAAAUCCUCUACUUUUUACUUAGGAAGCCAAUGUUUUGGAAAUUUUACAAUUACUGCCACAAGAUCACACAUCAAAGAUGAAGUUUUGAACAACUCGUAUGAAAUCACAUACAGUAGUUUAGAGUACUAUUACGGAGAUUCCUGGGAUAAGAAAAAUCUAACAAAUGAAGGUAAAGAACAGCUAAAGCAAGAACUAAGAUCAGUGCUCCUGGCGGCUUUACACAAAAAUCUAAACAAUAAUCAAAACUUCUCUCGAGAAUUUGACAAACUUUUCCACCUGCAUGAGAUACGCAGAAAAGAAAUAAUUUCAAUACAUUCGGAUUUCGUGGACAGUGAACAAUCGUAUUACUACCUCAUACCGAAAAUCCCCUUUCUCUGUUUCAUUCUAAAACGCAUCGUUAUCUAUGGGCUAUCGAAUUUCGAAUCAUAUGCUGUUCGCAGAACACCAGAAAAUUUCAAGCGCACUUUGCUCGUAAGGAAUCUUCGAGGAAGCAUGACUUUGGAUUAUAGAACUGAAAACGAACCAGAUUUAGAAUUGGAUUUUCAAAUAGAUUGUCUUAUUUUAUCGAGAAGACAAGAAGCUGAUUGUAUUCAUGCGCAGGCAAAAUAUUACACCGUUACUCGAACAAAAACAAAUGUUACGUUGAGCUCUCAUCAGUCCGAGGUGAUGAUGAAUAGACUGGAGUCAGCCAUAGCUUCUGCAUUAUCAUCAUCGAAAAAAGUUGCGAAAUUUUGUGAUCUAGAAAUGCCUCUAGAAAAAAUCAAUGUUUCAAAGGAUUCCAAUUGGAGUACAAUAAAAGAAUCGUAUAAAAAGUGGAUUCCAUUCAAUGACGACGAAAUCGUCAAUAAAGGGCCUUCUGAAUACGUUAAAAUAAUGUGCUGAAAUACUCAGUCAUUAUUACAUUAGCCAAACAACGCUAAAACUACCCCAAAAUAUGGACUAGCGCUAAUACAUCGUGAAAUCAAUACUCAUUGGUGGCAUGUUUUUGAUGGAAUCUGAAUUCGAGAAAAUUUAAAAUUUGUAAUCCGGGAAUGAAUAGAUAAGUUAUACCUAAGUGGGUAAAAUAUUACGAAUGUAACGUACCUACAUAAUUUGUAAAUACACGAAUUUUUAAUUUU